rnacentral:sRNA from 1 species
CUUUCAGAACACUCAAUGUCGGAACGUUCCGAAGAUGACGUCGGAGCGUUCUCGAAUCCCGUGUCUCUCGGCUGCUGCUGCCGAAGGAACAGGGAAAAAGCAACAAGAAGGAAGAGCAAUGGCGACACUGGAUCGCAAAGUGCCCAGUCCGGAGGCGUUUCUGGGCAAACCCUGGUCCUCCUGGAUCGACGCCGCCAAAUUACACUGCUCCGACAAUGUAGAUUUAGAAGAGGCUGGAAAAGAGGGUGGAAAAAGCAGGGAGGUUAUGAGGCUUAAUAAAGAAGAUAUGCACUUAUUUGGCCAUUACCCAGCACAUGACGACUUCUAUCUCGUAGUGUGCAGUGCCUGUAACCAGGUCGUCAAGCCACAGGUUUUCCAGUCGCACUGCGGUAAGUGGACACCUGCACCGUCGGGCACAUCUGCAGCUGCCGCCCUGGGGACAGUCGCCUUCCCCUGGGCUCCCCAACAGGGUCUGGCCGUGUCUUGUCUUAGCCUGAGGUUGUGGGUAAAGUCUUCCUGGGCUGCUGCCUCUGCUCACAGGCUGUUUUAGGAGCUGUAGUCCUUCUGCUGAAAUCCGCAGUCCUGUCAGAACAAAUGAGAGAAAACCUGCAACUUGUCUCAGUCGAUGGGACUAGACUGAAGCCAUCUGCCCAACGCGGUGAUGGCCUCUGCAGGUGACCAGGGGGAGGGGAGAGCUGCUUAAGGAGUCGCUCCUGCAGCCAGACAUUUUCUCCCCCUGAAAGAGGGCCAGGAGAGAGUCUCCCCCAGACUUACAAAAAGGAGGGCUGGGGCCAAGCGCAGCCCAGUGUGUGGGCCACUGGGGUGCUGCCCCAAGGAAAUGGUGCAUCAGUAAAACCUUACAUUCCAAUUC